rnacentral:rRNA from 1 species
UACAGAGGGGGCAAGCGUUAUUCGGAAUUAUUGGGCGUAAAGGGCGCGUAGGCGGCCUGACAAGUGGAAGGUGAAAUCCCUCGGCUUAACCGAGGAACUGCCCUCCAAACUGUUUGGCUUGAGACCGGGAGAGGUGAGUGGAAUUCCCAGUGUAGCGGUGAAAUGCGUAGAUAUUAGGAAGAACACCAGUGGCGAAGGCGGCUUACUGGUCCGGUACUGACGCUGAGGUGCGAAAGCGUGGGGAGCAAACAGG